rnacentral:rRNA from 1 species
GAUGAACGCUGGCGGCGUGCCUAAUACAUGCAAGUCGAGCGAACGGACGAGAAGCUUGCUUCUCUGAUGUUAGCGGCGGACGGGUGAGUAACACGUGGAUAACCUACCUAUAAGACUGGGAUAACUUCGGGAAACCGGAGCUAAUACCGGAUAAUAUUUUGAACCGCAUGGUUCAAAAGUAAAAGACGGUCUUGCUGUCACUUAUAGAUGGAUCCGCGCUGCAUUAGCUAGUUGGUAAGGUAACGGCUUACCAAGGCAACGAUGCAUAGCCGACCUGAGAGGGUGAUCGGCCACACUGGAACUGAGAUACGGUGCAGACUCCUACGGGAGGCAGCAGUAGGGAAUCUUCCGCAAUGGGCGAAAGCCUGACGGAGCAACGCCGCGUGAGUGAUGAAGGUCUUCGGAUCGUAAAACUCUGUUAUUAGGGAAGAACAUAUGUGUAAGUAACUGUGCACAUCUUGACGGUACCUAAUCAGAAAGCCACGGCUAACUACGUG